rnacentral:rRNA from 1 species
UGGGGAAUAUUGCACAAUGGGCGCAAGCCUGAUGCAGCCAUGCCGCGUGUGUGAAGAAGGCCUUCGGGUUGUAAAGCACUUUCAGCGAGGAGGAAGGUGGUGAGCUUAAUACGCUCAUCAAUUGACGUUACUCGCAGAAGAAGCACCGGCUAACUCCGUGCCAGCAGCCGCGGUAAUACGGAGGGUGCAAGCGUUAAUCGGAAUUACUGGGCGUAAAGCGCACGCAGGCGGUUUGUUAAGUCAGAUGUGAAAUCCCCGGGCUCAACCUGGGAACUGCAUUUGAAACUGGCAAGCUAGAGUCUCGUAGAGGGGGGUAGAAUUCCAGGUGUAGCGGUGAAAUGCGUAGAGAUCUGGAGGAAUACCGGUGGCGAAGGCGGCCCCCCUGGACGAAGACUGACGCUCAGGUGCGAAAGCGUGGGGCAGCAAACAGGAUUAGAUACCCUGGUAGUCCAGCGCUGUAAACGAUGUCGAUUUUGGAGGUUGUGCCCCUUGAGGCGUGGCUUCCGGAGCUAACGCGUUAAAUCGACCGCCUGGGGAGUACGGCCGCAAGGUUAAAACUCAAAUGAAUUGCGGGGUCUAGCUG